rnacentral:rRNA from 1 species
GGCGAGUGAAGCGGCAUCAGCUCAAAUUUGAAAUCUGGCUCUUUCAGGGUCCGAGUUGUAAUUUGCAGAGGGCGCUUUGGCGUUGGCAGCGGUCCAAGUUCCUUGGAACAGGACGUCACAGAGGGUGAGAAUCCCGUACGUGGUCGCUGGCCUUCGCCGUGUAAAGCCCCUUCGACGAGUCGAGUUGUUUGGGAAUGCAGCUCUAAAUGGGAGGUAAAUUUCUUCUAAAGCUAAAUACUGGCCAGAGACCGAUAGCGCACAAGUAGAGUGAUCGAAAGAUGAAAAGCACUUUGGAAAGAGAGUCAAAUAGCACGUGAAAUUGUUGAAAGGGAAGCGCUUGCAGCCAGACUUGCCUGUAGUUGCUCAUCCGGGCUUUUGCCCGGUGCAUUCUUCUGUAGGCAGGCCAGCAUCAGUUUGGGCGGUUGGAUAAAGGUCUCUGUCACGUACCUCCUCUCGGGGAGGCCUUAUAGGGGAGACGACAUGCAACCAGCCUGGACUGAGGUCCGCGCAUCUGCUAGGAUGCUGGCGUAAUGGCUGUAAGCGGCCCGUCUUGAAACACGGACCAAGGAGUCUAACAUCUAUGCGAGUGUUUGGGUGUCAAGCCCGAGCGCGUAAUGAAAGUGAACGGAGGUGGGAUCCCUUAAGGGUGCACCAUCGACCGAUCCUGAUGUCUUCGGAUGGAUUUGAGUAAGAGCAUGGCUGUUGGGACCCGAAAGAUGGUGAACUAUGCUUGAAUAGGGUGAAGCCAGAGGAAACUCUGGUGGAGGCUCGCAGCGGUUCUGACGUGCAAAUCGAUCGUCAAAUUUGGGCAUAGGGGCGAAAGACUAAUCGAACUAUCUAGUAGCUGGUUCCUGC